ensembl:lncRNA
AUGACAUCUUCACUUCCAGGAGCCAUGAUGAGUUCUGGAGCCUGACUGCUGAGUCCAGCUCUGGCUGUGCCACCCCCAAGCUGAAUGACUUAGGACCAUCCCGUCAUCCCUACAGCGGGUACCUGGCGGCAUCUCCUCUGCACUUUCUGGGGCAGAUUGGAUCAUUCCCAGGUUGUCACUUCCUCCCGGUUACAGAAUCCUGUGUGUGUGCUUUCGGCCCUGUGACUUGGCAGCACCUCCUACUAGGUAGGAGUGGAUUUCUUUGCCCUGUUGAUGCUGAGCUUGUCCAUAGGACUUGCUUUGGCUCUAUGAUGCCAAUAGACAUGAACAGAGUGGGACUUAAGGGUGCUGUGUAACUCUGCC